AUGGCCAUUUAUUUGCCUUUAAUAUAAUGACAUGAUACCAUUUUUUAGGAGCAUUGACGCUAAUAACUCUGUCUCGUGUCAUCACUCCCGCUGAGAGUGAGGGCGACCUUUUUUCUUCUUUUUUUCCUUCGCCGCUCUGUUUUCGUUUAUAUAAAGGGAGUAUGCUAAUCAAUUUUUUUAUGUUGCUGCAGAGAUGCCAUUUUGCUGUUUUCCAUUCUGCUGCGGAAAGAAAAGCAAAUCAAGACAUCAGAAAACUGUUCAUCCAAUUUACUCGACCCAUCCGGUGGAUCCUGGAACGAAGAACACGCAUGUUGAGAGGGGAUAUGGAGUCGAAGGAGGUCAAAUACCAGAGCCAAUAAUCCCUUCCCUCCCAGUAAACUCCCAAGCAGAUAAAAACAUUGGAUGUACGAAUGGACGAUGGCUGUGCCCUGCCAGACUUCCAUAUCACUAGAAGCAUGGCAGGCAACUCUAAGAAUGACAAAGGUGUUCAAUAAACACAUGAAUUAAAGCACCAUGCACUGUCUGAUCCAGGACCUUCUAGCAUUAACGUGAAUUCUCAAGAACUUCAACAAACUAUCAGGCAACAAGGAGAAGCAUCAACCUAUCUUCAACAAGAACAAAUCAAUCUUGAGGUUUUCAGGGAAGAAAAAUCCAGGAAAGGUGAAUGAAUGCCCAAAGCAUCGGCAUCCAAAGUGACCCUGAAGGGUCAAGCACUGAAAUACCUGUGAAGUUGUGCAACAAUAACAGUGAAAUUCCAGGAAGUAAAGACUUGUUUCUUAGAGUUGACACAACAACAAAUCAUCUAAAGGGCAUAAGAAUUUGGGACGGUGACACUCAAGUGGACUUCCUUAUUGUUGAGAGCGAGGAUCAAGGAGUUAAAGAACCAAAUGUUCAGCAAAAGCCCCAUGCUGGACGAGCAACAGCAGCUUAUGUUCAACAAGAACAAAAUAGCUUUGAUACUUAUAAUGAUGUUAUGGUGAAUGAUAUUCGAGAAGAAAUGGGACCUAUUGAAUUCAAUCAUCUUGCUUCUAGCUGGAUGAAAUUUCGGUGAUGUUCACAGCAUAAAGAGCAAUUCUCAGAGUUCUGGUGAAUGAGGCACUGAAACUAAAUGAAUAAUAAAUGAAUCCCAUAAUACGUAGAAUGGCUUUCAAA